AGAGUUUGAUCAUGGCUCAGAUUGAACGCUGGCGGCAUGCCUUACACAUGCAAGUCGAACGGCAGCGCGGGGCAACCUGGCGGCGAGUGGCGAACGGGUGAGUAAUAUAUCGGAACAUACCCUAGAGUGGGGGAUAACGUAGCGAAAGUUACGCUAAUACCGCAUACGCACUAAGGUGGAAAGUGGGGGAUUCGCAAGAACCUCAUGCUCAUGGAGUGGCCGAUAUCUGAUUAGUUAGUUGGUGAGGUAAAGGCUCACCAAGGCGACGAUCAGUAGCUGGUUUGAGAGAACGACCAGCCACACUGGAACUGAGACACGGUCCAGACUCCUACGGGAGGCAGCAGUGGGGAAUUUUGGACAAUGGGGGCAACCCUGAUCCAGCAAUGCCGCGUGAGUGAAGAAGGCCUUCGGGUUGUAAAGCUCUUUUGUGCGGGAAGAUAAUGACGGUACCGCUAGAAUAAGCCCCGGCUAACUUCGU
rnacentral:rRNA from 1 species